rnacentral:rRNA from 1 species
AAAGCUUCAAACUGGGAUUAGAUACCCCACUAUGCUCAGUCGUAAACAAAGACAUAUAUGCACAAUAUUGUCCGCCAGGGUACUACGAGCACCAGCUUAAAACCCAAAGGACCUGACGGUGCCUUAGACCCCCCUAGAGGAGCCUGUUCUAGAACCGAUAAUCCCCGUUAAACCUCACCAUUUCUGGCCAACCCAGCCUAUAUACCACCGUCGCCAGCUUACCCUGUGAAGGAACAAGAGUAAGCAAAAAGAGCACCACUCCAAACGUCAGGUCGAGGUGUAGCGAACGAAAUGGGAAGAAAUGGGCUACAUUUUCUGUUAACAGAAUAUUACGAAUAUGCACUAUGAAAUAAUGCUUGAAGGAGGAUUUAGUAGUAAAAAGGAAACAGAGUGUCCUUUUGAACCCGGCCCUGAGCAC